rnacentral:rRNA from 1 species
UAACGGCGAGUGAAGCGGGAAGAAGCUCAACUUUGAAAGCUGGUACCUUUGGUGCCCGCGUUGUAACCUCGAGACGCGUUUUCCGUGCGGCGCUAUGGACAAGUUCCUUGGAACAGGACAUCGUAGAGGGUGAAAAUCCCCGUACUUGCCAUGGAUGUACCGUGCUUUGUGAUACGCGCUCCAAGAGUCGAGUUGUUUGGGAUUGCAGCUCAAAAUGGGUGGUAGACUCCAUCUAAAGCUAAAUAUCGGGGAGAGACCGAUAGCGAACAAGUACCGUGAGGGAAAGAUGAAAAGCACUUUGGAAAGAGAGUUAAAAGUACGUGAAAUUGUCGAAAGGGAAGCGCUUGAAGUCAGCCAUGCCGCUCAGGACUCAGCUUGGUUUUUGCCGAGUGUAUUUCCUGGGUAGCAAGUCAGCAUUGGUUUGGUGCGUCGGAGAAGCAUCCUGGGAAUGUAGCGCCCUCGGGCGUGUUAUAGCCUAGGAUUGGAUACGACGUGCUAGACCAAGGAACGCAGCGCGCCUUUUGGCGGGUCUUCGGACACCUUCGCGCUUAGGAUGCUGGCGUAAUGGCUUUAAGUGGCCCGUCUUGAAACACGGACCAAGGAGUCUAACAUAUGUGCGAGUUUUUGGGUGGCAAACCCAUAAGCGGAAUGAAAGUGAAUGCAGGUGGGAUCCGUAAGGAGCACCAUCGACCGGCCCGGAUCUUUUGGGAUGGGUCUGAGUAAGAGCAUAUCUGUUGGGACCCGAAAGAUGGUGAACUAUGCCUGAAUAGGGCGAAGCCAGAGGAAACUCUGGUGGAGGCUCGCAGCGGUUUCUGACGUGCAAAUCG